UAACACAUGCCAAGUCGAGCGGAUGAAGGGAGCUUGCUCUCUGAUUCAGCGGCGGACGGGUGAGUAAUGCCUGGGAAUCUGCCUGAUAGUGGGGGACAACAGUUGGAAACGGCUGCUAAUACCGCAUACGUCCUACGGGAGAAAGCAGGGGAUCUUCGGACCUUGCGCUAUCAGAUGAGCCCAGGUCGGAUUAGCUAGUAGGUGGGGUAAAGGCUCACCUAGGCGACGAUCCGUAACUGGUCUGAGAGGAUGAUCAGUCACACUGGAACUGAGACACGGUCCAGACUCCUACGGGAGGCAGCAGUGGGGAAUAUUGGACAAUGGGCGAAAGCCUGAUCCAGCCAUGCCGCGUGUGUGAAGAAGGUCUUCGGAUUGUAAAGCACUUUAAGUUGGGAGGAAGGGUUGUAGAUUAAUACUCUGCAGCUUUGACGUUACCGACAGAAUAAGCACCGGCUAACUCUGUGCCAGCAGCCGCGGUAAUACAGAGGGUGCAAGCGUUAAUCGGAAUUACUGGGCGUAAGCGCGCGUAGGUGGCUAAGUAAAUGGGUGUGAAUCCCGGGCUCACCUGGAACUGCUUCAUACUGCUGGCUAAAUAC
rnacentral:rRNA from 1 species